AUCACUUCUCGGCCUUUUGGCUAAGAUCAAGUGCAUACACAAAUUUUUUAAAAAUACUUUUAACUCAGAAAAACUGGACUUCUAGAAAUUUUUUUCUAGGAAUAUGUAACUAGAAAUGUUU
rnacentral:snRNA from 1 species